GAUGAACGCUGGCUACAGGCUUAACACAUGCAAGUCGAGGGGAAACGACGGGGAAGCUUGCUUCCCCGGGCGUCGACCGGCGCACGGGUGAGUAACGCGUAUCCAACCUGCCUCUGACUGAGGGAUAACCCGUCGAAAGUCGGCCUAAUACCUCAUGGCAUCGUCUGCGGGCAUCCAACGACGAUUAAAGAUUUCAUCGGUCAGAGAUGGGGAUGCGUCUGAUUAGCUUGUUGGCGGGGUAACGGCCCACCAAGGCGACGAUCAGUAGGGGUUCUGAGAGGAAGGUCCACCAGAAUGGAGCUGAGACACGGUCCAAAAUCCUACGGGAGGCAGCAGUGAGGAAUAUUAGUCAAUGGGCGAGAGCCUGAACCAGCCAAGUAGCGUGCAGGAUGACGGCCAUAUGGGUUGUAAACUGCUUUUAUGCGGGGAUAAAGUGAGGGACGUGUCCUUCAUUGCAGGUACCGAAUGAAUAAGGACCGGCUAAUUCCGUG
rnacentral:rRNA from 1 species